rnacentral:lncRNA from 1 species
UCAGAUAGGAUUUGAUCUUGUCGAUGUUCAAGCCGUUCUUGUCUUUGUUCGAAUCGGUCCAUCCGAAUCCCAAUAUUUUCGACAGAUGAUGUAUGAGUUUGCUCAAAUGGAUGUGUUUCCUCAAAGGGACAGAUCGGAGGAGAUUGGGUACCCCUAAAGACUGGUGUUUCCGAUUCUGGUUCAGGUUGAGGGGGAUCAGUUCUUCUAGGCAUUCUAACCCAGUUAC